CCGAAGCUAGAGACGGCGGUCGUCGUCCCGCGCGGGGCCGGGCCGGGCCGGAGCGCUCUGGGCGGGUGGUCCUUCCUACCCGGCGGCUCCGGAACUGGAGGGCGGCGACCGACCGGGCUGGGAUUCGAGGUGAACAGCUCUGGCUGGGACCACAAGAAGCCUCUCUAGGAUGCUGAGGAAGACUUCCCUUUCUGAUAGAUGAGAGUUGCCACAGUAUGUAUUGCUGGGAGUGAUACAUCACUUCCUAACUUGCCUGUGUCUCAUGGAAUUAGUGCCAGUCUACCACACCCAGAAAAUGGAGUGCUUGAUCUCAGCUACAUGUAUUUCAACUACCUGGAACUGAUGUUAACCCUUUGAGGAUAGCCAUUAAACAAGUUUCAA